rnacentral:rRNA from 1 species
GAACGCUGGCGGCGUGCCUAAUACAUGCAAGUCGAACGGGGAGUAUUUACUUCGGUUUUUACUCCUAGUGGCGAACGGGUGAGUAACGCGUUGGUGACCUGCCCCGAAGCGGGGGAUAACUCCGCGAAAGCGGAGCUAAUACCCCAUGUGGUCGUACUGGUUAGAGGCUGUACGACUAAAGGAGUAAUCCACUUCGGGAGGGGCCUGCGUCCCAUCAGCUAGUUGGUAAGGUAACGGCCUACCAAGGCGAAGACGGGUAGGGGACCUGAGAGGGUGGCCCCCCACACUGGCACUGAAACACGGGCCAGACAUCUACGGAUGGCAGCAGUAGGGAAUAUUGCACAGUGGGCGAAAGCCUGAUGCAGCAACGCCGCGUGCGCGAAGAAGGCCUUCGGGUUGUAAAGCGCUUUUCUGGAGGAAGAGGAAGGACGGUACUCCAGGAAUAAGGAUCGGCUAACUACGUGCCAGCAGCCGCGGUAACACGUAGGAUCCGAGCGUUAUCCGAAUUUACUGGGCGUAAAGCGCGUGUAGGCGGCCGGGCAAGUUGGACGUGAAAUCUCCUGGCUCAACUAGGAGAGGUCGUUCAAAACUGCCUGGCUAGAGGGCGACAGAGGGAGGUGGAAUUCCCGGUGUAGUGGUGAAAUGCGUAGAUAUCGGGAGGAACACCAGUGGCGAAGGCGGCCUCCUGGGUCGCACCUGACGCUCAGACGCGAAAGCUAGGGGAGCGAACGGGAUUAGAUACCCCGGUAGUCCUAGCUGUAAACGAUGUGGACUUGGCGUUGAUGGGGUUAAAUCCAUCAGUGCCGUAGCUAACGCGAUAAGUCCACCGCCUGGGGACUACGGUCGCAAGAUUAAAACUCAAAGAAAUUGGCGGGGGCCCGCACAAGCAGCGGAGCGUGUGGUUUAAUUCGAUGCUACACGAAGAACCUUACCCGGGUUUGACAUCCAGGUGGUAGGGAACCGAAAGGCGACCGACCCUUCGGGGAGCCUGGACAGGUGCUGCAUGGCUGUCGUCAGCUCGUGUCGUGAGAUGUCCGGUUAAGUCCGGUAACGAGCGCAACCCUUGCUGUAUGUUAUACGUGUCAUACAGGACUGCCGGUUAGAACCGGAGGAAGGCGGGGAUGACGUCAAGUCAGCAUGGCCUUUAUAUCCGGGGCUACACACACGCUACAAUGGUCAGCACAACAGGUUGCAAAAC